UACGUAGGGUCCGAGCGUUGUCCGGAAUUAUUGGGCGUAAAGGGCUCGUAGGCGGUCUGUCGCGUCGGGAGUGAAAACUUACAGCUUAACUGUGAGCGUGCUUUCGAUACGGGCAGACUUUAGGCAUUCAGGGGAGAACGGAAUUCCUGGUGUAGCGGUGAAAUGCGCAGAUAUCAGGAGGAACACCGGUGGCGAAGGCGGUUCUCUGGGAAUGUCCUGACGCUGAGGAGCGAAAGUGUGGGGAGCGAACAGG
rnacentral:rRNA from 1 species